UGACCAAAAGAUAAUGUAAUCUACGAAGGUGUUGUUCAUCUCAUAGAUAGUUCUAUGUAUCUUACAAUUUGUUGAUCUCUUGGCCUUACGGGAAGGCAUUCAGUCUAUGUGUAGUGAUCUUUUGGUUCGUUGUGGAUAUUUUACAGUUUUGGGGGCUCUUGAUUCCAUGUUUUAUAACAUCUUUAUGCAAUGUUACUAGGUAGGCGAUUUGAUGUUGAUGACCAAAAAAUAUUGCACUUUAGGAAUUUAGUAUUCAUCUCAUAGAUGGUACUAUGUAUUCUACAGUUUUUUGGUCUCUUGCCCUUGCGGAAAGGUAUUCAGUCCAUGUCUUGUGAUGUUCCAGUUCAUCGUGAAUAGUUUGCAGUUUCUGAGUCGCUUGAUAUGCUUAUUUGGCAUCUGUAUGCAACUGCAUUGGGUAUCAUCCCAAAUAGUUCAAGGUUCAUUGUCUGGAGCUAGAAAAAUAUAUGCAUAGAACUGUUGAUGUACACCCUAGGUUGUACAUGAAAUUCUGGGCAGAUCUAGAGGGGUUAGACUUACAUAGCAGAUUUUCUAUUUCAGUUUGCCUCUGCUCUAGAAAAUUGAAAUGAUGUACCCCACGCUUAAAAAAAAUGGUUCUACCUAGCAGCUUUUAUGAGUUUUGAAAGUUGUGCAUUCAACUUAUAUAUAAUCUUGCGAUCCUUCCUACAAUGCUUGGAGGGAUAACAUAGGGUUGUUCUCCAUUCACUCAUGUCAAUCCAUCUUAUUGUUUUUAGGACACAUUUCUCAUCCCCUGAUAAU
rnacentral:lncRNA from 1 species